GAUGAACGCUGGCGGCGUGCCUAAUACAUGCAAGUCGAGCGGACAGACGAGGAGCUUGCUCCUCUGACGUUAGCGGCGGACGGGUGAGUAACACGUGGAUAACCUACCUAUAAGACUGGGAUAACUUCGGGAAACCGGAGCUAAUACCAGAGAAUAUAUUGAACCGCAGGGUUCAAUGGUGAAAUACGGUUUUGCUGUCUCUUAUAGAUGGAUCCCCGCCGAAUGAGCUAGUUGGUAAGGUCACGGCUUACCAAGGGAACGAUGCGUAGCCGACCGGAGAGGGUGAUCGGCCACACUGGAACUGAGACACGGUCCAGACUCCUACGGGAGGCAGCAGUAGGGAAUCUUCCGCAAUGGGCGAAAGCCUGACGGAGCAACGCCGCGUGAGUGAUGAAGGUCUUCGGAUCGUAAAACUCUGUUAUUAGGGAAGAACAAAUGUGUAAGUAACCAUGCACGUCUUGACGGUACCUAAUCAGAAAGCCACGGCUAACUACGUG
rnacentral:rRNA from 1 species